CCGAAGAAGGAAGAACGCGCCGGCGCUAGGUUCCCCACCUUCGUCAUGGAGCCUAGCAAUGGGGCUUAACAAAAAAGGGAUCGGGAGGAAUCUUUGGAACUAUCUCAGGCAGUGUAGGACGGUGGUGAGCUCGGGCUUUGGCGUCACUUAGUCGGGAUGGAGAUAUGCCAUUUAGGAAAUUAGCCUUUGUUUCCAUAUCUGUAAAGGGAUGGUAUAGUGUUCCACACUAACCUGGCCUUGUGGACGUUUAGCAACAACUGACACACUCUAAACACCCAAUAAAUGGUGGUUUUUGCAUUGCCAUUAUAAUCCCAACAAGUUCAAGUAUUUAACCCUUUUUUAAAGAUUGUUCUAGGCCAGUGAUUCUCAAAAUGUGAUUCCCUAGACCAGUAGUAUCAACAUCACCUGGAAACUUACUGGAAAUGCAGUCAGUCUCAGGCCUUAUUCCUGCCCUAAUGAAUCAAAAAAUCUGGAUUGGGGGGGUCCAGCAGUCUGUGCUUCAAUAAGUCCCCAAAGUGAGUCCAUGCACUUUAACGUUUGAAAAGUACUGCAAGAAUGAGGUAUAUCUGGCAACUUCCUCCCGGCCCUCCUCCCCCAAAGAAAACAGCAGAACCAUGGCUCCUUAACUCAGGACUCUUUUUUCGCAAAACUACCUCUGCAAUAUGUAACCUUGGCUUCUCAGGAAAUGGAAAGAACUACUUCUCCUGAAGCUCUCUGGUCUGCUCUAUUAUGGACUGGAUGCCCUCCAAGACUGUCACCCAGCUGUCUCGGAAUGUCUUACAUCAGUUUAUCCUUGCCCCUCUAUUGGACCCUUUAUUUCCUGAAUCCCAAGUCUUUCUCUUUUUAGUUCUCUCAUUUUAUAAAGAACAUUUUCUAUUA